UACGUAGGGUGCGAGCGUUAAUCGGAAUUACUGGGCGUAAAGCGUGCGCAGGCGGUUCGCCAAGUCAGGUGUGAAAUCCCCGGGCUUAACCUGGGAAUUGCGCUUGAAACUAGCGGGCUUGAGUGCGGCAGAGGGGAGUGGAAUUCCACGUGUAGCAGUGAAAUGCGUAGAGAUGUGGAGGAACACCGAUGGCGAAGGCAGCCCCCUGGGUCGACACUGACGCUCAUGCACGAAAGCGUGGGGAGCAAACAGG
rnacentral:rRNA from 1 species